rnacentral:rRNA from 1 species
UUUACCCUACGGGGGGCAGCAGUAGGGAAUUUUCGUCAAUGGGCGCAAGCCUGAACGAGCGAUGCCGCGUGAGUGAAGAAGGCCUUCGGGUCGUAAAGCUCUGUUGCGGGGGAAAAAAGGCAGCAUCAGGAAAUGGGUGCUGACUGAUGGUGCCCCGCCAGAAAGUCACGGCUAACUACGUGCCAGCAGCCGCGGUAAUACGGAGGAUGCGAGCGUUAUCCGGAUUUAUUGGGUUUAAAGGGUGCGUAGGCGGGCUUUUAAGUCAGCGGUAAAAAUUCGGGGCUCAACCCCGGCCGGCCGGUGUA